AAUCAAAAGAUCACUUUUUCUUUCUCCUUUCUUCUUCUCUUUGCCGUGGCUUCUCCUCUCUUAAACCCCAUCUUCAUAAAUUUUUCCUUUCCACCAUUUUCAUUAAAGAUCAAGCUUGCUUUCCAUUAGUUCUUUGCUAGCUCAUUUCCUUCUUGAGGAAACGAGUAACGGUGUUUAAUUGCGCGUUCGAUUGUGUGAUUGGAAACUUUUGCCGAGAUGACAUUCAUGAGCGUGGUGCCGUCGGCCACGAGGAUGAGAUUGAUUUGGAGCGCUCUUAGGAUUGUGGUGUUUGUGAUGAGACGUUCUCCACCACAUCCAUUUGAUCAGACCUAGAGUCUUAGUUCAUUUUGCUUACGUUUCUAGUUUAUUUUGAGAUGUAGUACCUUGACAGACUAUUAUACUUAUGGUGCCUUAGUGGCCUUGCGAUACAUUAGGUUCACGUAACCGUCUUUGUGGUUCGUGAACUAAUUGUAUCCCUUUUGAUAUGUAUAUUAUUCAGGUGAACACUUGCUUCC